rnacentral:rRNA from 1 species
AUUGAACGCUGGCGGCGUGCUUAACACAUGCAAGUCGAACGGAGUGGCGAACGGGUGAGUAACACGUGGGUAACCCGCCCUGCACUUCGGGAUAAGCCUGGGAAACUGGGUCUAAUACCGGAUAGUGUGGGAUGGGCCCGCGGGCAAUCGGUUUGUUGGUGGGGUAAUGGCCUACCAAGCGGGUGACGGGUAGCCGGCCUGGGAGCGUGGACGGCCACAUGAGUACUGAGGGACGGAGCAGACGGCUACGGGAGGCAGCGGUGGGGAAUAUUGCGCAAUGGGCGCGAGCCUGAUGUAGCGGCGCCGGGUGGGGGAUGACGGCCUUCGGGUUGUAAACACCUUUCACCGUCGACGCGGUAUCUAACCAGAAAGCCACGGCUAACUACGUGCCAGCAGCCGCGGUAAUAC